AGACUUCCAAGUAAGAUUUCCAGAUUUCAAUCUCACAAGCAUGCAUCAGAAGGGACCUCUAUGUUUCAAAAGGCAAAUAUUCUUAUCAAAAUGAAUAGAUGUUUUCGUAAUCAACAGUAAUGACACAAAAACAAAAUUUACUUGAUCGAACACACGCUUUAUUUGACUGGAAUAAAAGAUGGUUCACAAUUGGGCAACACACAGGAAGCAAACCCUGGAAAGAGGUGAUUGCACAUAAAAGAAAA
rnacentral:lncRNA from 1 species